rnacentral:rRNA from 1 species
AGGGAGCCUGAGAAACGGCUACCACAUCUAAGGAAGGCAGCAGGAGCGUAAAUUACCCAAUGUCGACUCGAUGAGCGUAGUGACAAUACAUAACAAAGAGGGGAUCUUGUAUCUUACUCUAUUGCAAUGAGGCAUGUUUAAUAACCUGUUCGAGCAACCAGUGAAGGGCAAGUCUGGUGCCAGCAGCCGCGGUAAUUCCAGCUUCACGAGUGUAUAUUUAGGUUGUUGCAGUUAAAAAGCUCGUAGUUGAACUUCUGUUCGUUCAGAAGGCGUGCAAGCGAAUUCUGGAUGAGCAUCCGCCUGAAAAUCAUUCGGGUCUUCACUGAUUCAGUGAUGGAUCAGGCAUUUUACUUUGAAAAAAUUAGAGUGUUCAAAGCAGGCUUUCGCCUGAAUACAUUAGCAUGGAAUAAUAGAGUAGGACGCUGUUCAAUUUGUUGGUUAUUGAAUCGCGUAAUGAUUAAUAGGGACAGUUGGGGGCAUUUGUAUUUAAUUGUCAGAGGUGAAAUUCUUGGAUUUAUUAAAGACAAACUUAUGCGAAAGCAUUUGCCAAGGAUGUUUUCAUUAAUCAAGAACGAAAGUUAGAGGAUCAAAGACGAUCAGAUACCGUCCUAGUUUUAACUAUAAACUAUGCCGACUCGGUCUCCGUCGAGCCUUCCUAACUCGAUGGGUGCCGUAUGAGAAAUCAAAGUCUUUGGGUUCCGGGGGGAGUAUGGUCGCAAGGUUGAAACUUAAAGGAAUAGACGGAACAUCACUACCAGGUGUGGAUCCUGCGGCUUAAUUUGACCCAACACGGGGAAACUUACCAGCGCAAAACAAGGGUGGGAUUGACAGAUUGAGAGCUCUUUCUUGAUUCUUUGGAUAGUGGUGCAUGGCCGUUCUUAGUUGGUGGAGUGAUUUGUCUGCUUAAUUGCGUUAACGAACGAGACCUCAACCUACUUACUAGACGCAGGAUCUACCCAUCUUGUGUUCUUCUUAGAGGGACUGUGCGGAGACAAACGCAAGGAAGUUUGAGGCAAUAACAGGUCUGUGAUGCCCUUAGAUGUGCUGGGCCGCACGCGGGAUACAAUGACCCGUUCAGAAAGUAUAACCUGACCCGGAAGGGAGUGGGUAAUCUUUUUAAUGCGGGUCGUGCUAGGGAUCGAUCUUUGCAAUUAUAGAUCUUGAACGAGGAAUACCUAGUAAGUGCAAGUCAUCAGCUUGUACUGAUUACGUCCCUGGUGUUUGUACUCACCGCCCGUCGCUCCUACCAAUUUCGAAUGAUCCGGUGAACCUUUUGGAUUGGGUGCAAACCUAAGAAGUUAAGUAAACCUUAUCAUUUAGAGGAAGGAGAAGUCGUAACAAGGUU